CAGGGUUACUCUCAAGGACUUCUCCUUCCAGUCUGUAUAGAUGCCUGGGAUUCCUCUGGCUCAAGUGCAAAACCUUAUACUUUGCUGUGUUAAACCUCAUUAGGUUCACCUGGGCCCACCUUUCAAGUUUGUUGAGGUCCCUCUGAAUGGCAUCCCUUCCUUCCACCAUGUCAACUACACCACUCAGCUUGGUGUCAUCAGCAAACCUGCUGAGGGUGCACUAGAUUCUAUUGUUGAUGUCACAGAUAAAGAUGUUAAAGAGCACCCAAGACAGACCCCCAGGGGAUGCCGCUGUGGCAGCCUUCCCUGAUUUUUUACUCAUAGGCCAACACUGAUCCUGAGCUUGGAAGAAACAUUGUUAAAAUGCCGACCAGCUUUCACAGGCCCCUGUACCUUCUAACCCACAGGAUAGCUCCAAGAUCUUGAACUCUACCACCUCGUGAUCUCUAUAUCUGAAGCUGCCUCAACCUUCACUUUCCUAACAAGCUCAUCCAAAUUAAAAAGAAAAUGGUGCAGUAACACCCCACCCAAGAUAAGAAAAUAACUGUCUGUUGGAAAGAAAUUAAUGAGAACAUGAGAGAACUGUUAUGACUAAUACAACAUUAGUAAGAUUUCAGAAGGAUUUGGUCUCAAGUGAUCAAGUAAGGAGUGGGAUUUAAAAAAAAAAAAAAAA